rnacentral:tRNA from 1 species
GAUGUGGCUCAGGCGGUAGCGCGCUCACUUGGCAUGCGUGCGGCCUGGGUUUGAUCCCCAGCACAACA